GACGGAGGAUGCAAGUGUUAUCCGGAAUCACUGGGCGUAAAGCGUCUGUAGGUGGUUUAACAAGUCCACUGUUAAAGGUUGAAGCUUAACUUCAAAAAUGCCGUGGAAACUUUUAAACUUGAGUAUGAUAGGGGUAGAGGGAAUUUCCAGUGGAGCGGUGAAAUGCGUAGAUAUUGGAAAGACCACCGAUGGCGAAGGCACUCUACUGGGCCAUUACUGACACUGAGAGACGAAAGCUAGGGGAGCAAAUGGG
rnacentral:rRNA from 1 species